UGGCUCAGGAUGAACGCUAGCGACAGGCCUAACACAUGCAAGUCGAGGGGCAUCGGGGCGAGGAGCAAUCCUUGCCGCCGGCGACCGGCGCACGGGUGAGUAACGCGUAUGCGACCUGCCCGUUGCAGGGGGAUAAUCGGGAGAAAUCCCGUCUAAUACCGCGUAACGCCGCGGGGCUGCAUGGCCCUGCGGCCAAAGGGAGCGAUUCCGGCAACGGAUGGGCAUGCGUGACAUUAGCUAGUUGGCGGGGCAACGGCCCACCAAGGCGACGAUGUCUAGGGGUUCUGAGAGGAAGGUCCCCCACACUGGUACUGAGACACGGACCAGACUCCUACGGGAGGCAGCAGUGAGGAAUAUUGGUCAAUGGGCGCGAGCCUGAACCAGCCAAGUCGCGUGAGGGAUGACGGCCCUACGGGUUGUAAACCUCUUUUGUCGGGGAGCAAAUUCCGCCACGUGUGGCGGAGUCGAGAGUACCCGAAGAAAAAGCAUCGGCUAACUCCGUGCCAGCAGCCGCGGUAAUACGGAGGAUGCGAGCGUUAUCCGGAUUUAUUGGGUUUAAAGGGUGCGUAGGCGGACUGUCAAGUCAGCGGUAAAAUACGGGGGCUCAACCUCCGCCCGCCGUUGAAACUGACGGUCUUGAGUGGGCGAGAAGUAUGCGGAAUGCGUGGUGUAGCGGUGAAAUGCAUAGAUAUCACGCAGAACUCCGAUUGCGAAGGCAGCAUACCGGCGCCCAACUGACGCUGAAGCACGAAAGCGUGGGUAUCGAACAGGAUUAGAUACCCUGGUAGUCCACGCAGUAAACGAUGAAUACUAGCUGUCCGGGGCGAAUGAGCCCUGGGUGGCACAGCGAAAGCGUUAAGUAUUCCACCUGGGGAGUACGCCGGCAACGGUGAAACUCAAAGGAAUUGACGGGGGCCCGCACAAGCGGAGGAACAUGUGGUUUAAUUCGAUGAUACGCGAGGAACCUUACCCGGGCUCAAACGACACAGGAACGUACCUGAAAGGGUUCGGCUCUACGGAGCCUGUGUCGAGGUGCUGCAUGGUUGUCGUCAGCUCGUGCCGUGAGGUGUCGGCUUAAGUGCCAUAACGAGCGCAACCCCCAUCGACAGUUGCUAACAGGUUAGGCUGAGGACUCUGUCGAGACUGCCGGCGCAAGCUGCGAGGAAGGCGGGGAUGACGUCAAAUCAGCACGGCCCUUACGUCCGGGGCGACACACGUGUUACAAUGGCAGGUACAGCGGGAAGCCACCUGGCGACAGGGAGCGGAACCCGAAAGCCUGUCUCAGUUCGGAUUGGAGUCUGCAACCCGACUCCAUGAAGCUGGAUUCGCUAGUAAUCGCGCAUCAGCCACGGCGCGGUGAAUACGUUCCCGGGCCUUGUACACACCGCCCGUCAAGCCAUGGAAGCCGGGGGUGCCUGAAGUGCGCUGCCGCGAGGAGCGCCCUAGGGUAAAACCGGUGACUGGGGCUAAGUCGUAACAAGG
rnacentral:rRNA from 1 species